GCUGCAGCGUCUUCCUUUUCUUCUCGGGAUAGCUAGAGUAGCGGUACUUAGAGUAGUUAGUAGUUGCAACUGUUUCUCCCGAUUCUGCGGGGUUUUUUUUCUUAUAUUUAUACAAGUAUUCUGUCUUAAACGGUAAUUUAGGUAAUCAUUUUUACAGCAGUCAGAUACAUGCAAAGACCGAUGCGGUGGACGUAAGUACAUGAAUCUACACCAUGAAGCAAGACACGUGUUGAAUGAGGAAUCUACACCAUGAAGUAAAAGUUUGUUAAUUUAAGGAAUCUACACCAUGAAGUAAAAGUUAAUUUAAGGUGUCUGAAACGUCUACCCCCAAAACUCUUCUUUUAGACUAUGCUUGUUCUGGAUGUUCUGUUUUGAAGUUGAUUGAGAUUUGAUGGGUUUUUUUUACGUAUUUAACAGUUUUUGUCCCUGUUUAGAAACAAAUGUUUUAUUAGAUGAAUGGCUUUUGUAUUUAGGAGUCUGUAAUUUGUUGUGUUGUACUGAAGUUCUACAAUAAAUUCUCAUUUACUGCAAGUUGA